UACGAAGGGGGCUAGCGUUGCUCGGAAUUACUGGGCGUAAAGCGCACGUAGGCGGAUUGUUAAGUCGGGGGUGAAAUCCUGGAGCUCAACUCCAGAACUGCCUUCGAAACUGGCGAUCUUGAGUCCGGGAGAGGUGAGUGGAACUGCGAGUGUAGAGGUGAAAUUCGUAGAUAUUCGGAAGAACACCAGUGGCGAAGGCGGCUCACUGGCCCGGUACUGACGCUGAGGUGCGAAAGCGUGGGGAGCAACAGG
rnacentral:rRNA from 1 species